rnacentral:tRNA from 1 species
GGCGCUGUGGCUCAAGGGGUAGAGCACCAGCCUGGAGCUGGAGCUCAGGGACAGCGCCC